GACGAAGGGGGGCUAGCGUUGUUCGGAAUUACUGGGCGUAAAGCGCGUGUAGGCGGUUGCCCAAGUCGGGUGUGAAAGCCUUGAGCUCAACUCAAGAAAUGCACUCGGUACUGGGUGACUAGAGGACCGGAGAGGAUAGUGGAAUUCCCAGUGUAGUGGUGAAAUACGUAGAGAUUGGGGAAGAACACCAGUGGCGAAGGCGGCUAUCUGGACGGUUUCUGACGCUAAGACGCGAAAGCGUGGGGGAGCAAACAGG
rnacentral:rRNA from 1 species